GUAAAAUUCAAAACGGAAAGUCCCUUCAAAUGGCAAAACCAAAGCUCAAACACAUCAAACGAAUGGGAAAACAACUGUCAUAUUCCUGACUUGGUAGAGGCAUCUCAUGAAGGAAUGUACAAGUACCGAGCCAAGCCAAGAGGAUAUUACCAAAAAUGGACUAAACAGUAAAGAGGUAGACUGAAAACAGCAGAUAGAAAAGGAAUGUUGCAGGUGCUCUACUUCUGGCUUAACGACAAUAAUAAUAUAACAAUUGUAGCUUUUGAAUGAGGUCGAUAAGAGGAUAUAUCGACCUCGGACUUCGUCCUCAGUCAAUAUACUUCUUUCAGGUCGAUAUAUCCUCGUAUCGACCUCAUACAAAGGCUAUUAUGGUAUAAUAUUGCUACCGAACAAACGUACAAGUUGAUACCUCUACUAUUUAAACUGACCAUGCGAGCAUGGUACAUACAUUAUGUACAUAGUUAUUGCCAAUUAGACCUCUAUCCACAAGAGACCAAAGGACAAGGAUGUAAACAAUAACCAUUGGAAAACAAAUUUUAAAAUAGAUGAAUAAAAUGGACGUCUAGGAAUCAAUAAAACACCGUCUGGUUACGUAAUUUGAUUAGGUUGAAAAAAAUGUCUCACACAUAGUGUUCCUGAUUGUACUUAUACUAAGUACAUUUGUAUAUCAUAUCCUCAUAUAUUAAAAUAAGGAGAUGUU